rnacentral:rRNA from 1 species
CCUACGGGAGGCAGCAGUGGGGAAUUUUGCGCAAUGCGCGAAAGACUGACGCAGCAACGCCGCGUGAGUGACGAAGGCUUUCGGUACGUAAAGCUCUUUCAGUAGGGAAGAAAAAACAUAUAAGUAACUGUGUAUGUAUUGACGGUACCUGUUUAAGCAGCCCCGGCUAACUACGUGCCAGCAGCCGCGGUAAUACGGAGGGGGCGAGCGUUGUCCGGAGUGACUGGGCGUAAAGAGCACGUAGGCGGUUUUGUAAGUCCGAAGUGAAAGACCAGGGCUCAACCGUAGAAAGGCUUGUGAUACUAGAAUACUUGAGUAUCAGAGAGGAUUGCAGAAUUCCUGGUGUAGCGGUGAAAUGCGUAGAUAUCAGGAGGAAUACCAGUAGCGAAGGCGGCAAUCUGGCUGGAAACUGACGCUGAGGUGCGAAAGCGUGGGUAGCAAACAGGAUUAGAUACCCGAGUAGUC